AUUGAACGCUGGCGGCAGGCCUAACACAUGCAAGUCGAGCGGAUGAAGGGAGCUUGCUCCUGGAUUCAGCGGCGGACGGGUGAGUAAUGCCUAGGAAUCUGCCUGGUAGUGGGGGAUAACGUCCGGAAACGGGCGCUAAUACCGCAUACGUCCUGAGGGAGAAAGUGGGGGAUCUUCGGACCUCACGCUAUCAGAUGAGCCUAGGUCGGAUUAGCUAGUUGGUGGGGUAAAGGCCUACCAAGGCGACGAUCCGUAACUGGUCUGAGAGGAUGAUCAGCCACACUGGAACUGAGACACGGUCCAGACUCCUACGGGAGGCAGCAGUGGGGAAUAUUGGACAAUGGGCGAAAGCCUGAUCCAGCCAUGCCGCGUGUGUGAAGAAGGACUUCGGAUUGUAAAGCACUUUAAGUUGGGAGGAAGGGCAGUAAGUUAAUACCUUGCUGUUUUGACGUUACCAACAGAAUAAGCACCGGCUAACUUCGUG
rnacentral:rRNA from 1 species